UACGAAGGGGGCUAGCGUUGCUCGGAAUCACUGGGCGUAAAGGGUGCGUAGGUGGUUGGGUAAGUUUGAUGUGAAAGCUCAGGGCUUAACCCUGAAAUGGCAUUGAAUACUACUUAACUGGAGGUUUGGAGGGGGGACUGGAAUUCUUGGUGUAGCAGUGAAAUGCGUAGAUAAUCAAGAGGAACACCAGUGGCGAAGGCGAGUCCCUGGACAACACCUGACACUGAGGCACGAAAGCUAGGGGAGCAAACAGG
rnacentral:rRNA from 1 species